UGGGGGGGCUUGCAAAUGGCCGCUUGCGGAGGGCGUUCCUCGAGCUCGCUAAGGGGACGGGAGGAAACGCGGUGAAGGGGCGCCGCCGCGCCUGCUUUGCAUGCCGAGACCGCAGCCUCGGCCGUCACCUGAGGCGCUGUCCAGGAAAGCGCCGCUUCCCCUUUUUUCCCCCCCUUCGUUUUCCUCCCUGCAGUUCAGGGCCUUCCUUUGCGGAUAAACUUGAGAGCAACAUGGGUUUGGGCAGCAUCUGUGAACACUUCAAAACAUUUUGAGAAACAAGAUGAAAAAGCUGAAUCUCAUCGCUCUCUACAGCUACCUGGAAGGAGGUUGCGGUCAACACCUGGUACACAAAGAAUGCAAAGGUUUUAGAAGCAUCACAUUCAGAUCAGCAAUUCUGUAUGCAUUUUUAAUCAAGUCUCUCAGCCUUGAAAUAAAUCAAAAUGACUGGAAGAAAGAGAUUUUUCUGCUGGAUCUUAAUGAGUUAACCUCUUCCACCUGCAACAUUUCCUCCAAAGCAAGCACCAAGUUUAUUUUUAUAGCUGAAUUCCCAAAUAGCAGGUCAGUGAAGGGAAGGGAGUGUUUGCUGCAUCUGAGGUUUUCAUGUUACGUUCUUCUGUAAUGAUGGGUUUCUUUAAGAAUUACUGUAGUAGUUAAGUUUAGUGGCUCUUUGAGCUUUUUGUUAAAUUAACCUUACUGUAUUUUAUUCUAUUUAAGAAGAAGAAAGAAGAUACUAAGAAAAGAUGCUGGCUUUUAAAAAGUGGAGAAAGAGUCUUAAUCUUUGCAAGGUAAAUUUGUUCUGUUACCUUCUGAGUGAGUCAUCUAUCCAUCCAAGGAGUAUAGUUCACCUUCUAAGCUCUUGAAAUAGUUUUUUGUAAUGUUUUUUUAUAGUUUUUUGUAAUGUUCUCUCAUCAGACACUUCCCUUCAGUAGCUGCCUUAAAAGGGCUUAAAUUCUUCUAGUUACUGCCUGAUUGCCUCACUUCAUCUUACACAUCUUCAGCUGAGAAAAGUGUUGAAGCAUUAGCUUUUUUCUUCAAAGAAGAAUUAUAGCAUGGAACAGGAACGCUGAAAAAUACAAGCUCAUAGUUAUGAUCACGGAACAAUUAUUAUCGACAAUUGUUGACUCUGCUAGUUACAAAUAGUAGAGUUGGUUUGAGACGCAUUUUGGGGAAGACUGAAUGAGAGACAGCUCUUAAAGUUUUAGUAUUCAGUACUUAAUAGUAUAACAGGUGAGUGAAAAAAAUUGGAUGAGGAGUGGAAGGCUAGCUUCCAUACAGACUUUUUUUUUUCUGUUAGCUUCAGGAAAGAAAAAGUGCAUUGUUAGGCAUUAUUUUUGCUUGUAUACUGUAACUGGUUCAUUUCCCCCCCCAUGUCUGAUGUGUAAUUUCAGUUUGCAUUAACACUUGCAUAACUUUGCAUUAUGGUUGAAUGUUGGGACUUUUUUUUCCCUGUUGCAAGUAGGUAUUAUAAACAUUGAUAACUUUCACAUAUGAUAUAAUAAAUAUUUUUUAUUUAUUUUACUGACA
rnacentral:lncRNA from 1 species